rnacentral:rRNA from 1 species
GAUGAACGCUGGCGGCGUGCUUAACACAUGCAAGUCGAACGGAGUUUUACUUAUUGAAGAAUUUAGCUUGCUAUUGACUGAUAUUUGUAAAACUUAGUGGCGGACGGGUGAGUAACGCGUGGGUAACCUGCCGUAUACAGGGGGACAACAGUUGGAAACGACUGCUAAUACCGCAUAAGCGCACAGUAUUGCAUGAUACAGUGUGAAAAACUCCGGUGGUAUACGAUGGACCCGCGUCUGAUUAGCUAGUUGGUGAGGUAACGGCCCACCAAGGCGACGAUCAGUAGCCGGCCUGAGAGGGUGAACGGCCACAUUGGGACUGAGACACGGCCCAAAACUCCUACGGGAGGCAGCAGUGGGGAAAUAUUGCACAAUGGGGGAAACCCUGAUGCAGCGACGCCGCGUGAGUGAAGAAGUAUUUCGGUAUGUAAAGCUCUAUCAGCAGGGAAGAAAAUGACGGUACCUGACUAAGAAGCCCCGGCUAACUACGUGCCAGCAGCCGCGG